GGGCCCGUAGUUCAGUUGGUAGAACGCCCGCCUUGCACGCGGGAGGUCAGCGGUUCGAAUCCGCUCGGGUCCACCA
rnacentral:tRNA from 1 species